CCAGAACUCAUGCUUUUAUAUUCAGAGCCAAGAACAGAAUCUGGAACAUGAAAGUCAGAUCAAGGCAGUCCAAGCCCUCCGUUAACAGAUGAGAAAAAACAGUUAUGGAGGUGGUGUCAGCAUCAUGGCAGAGUGAACAGGCCUGGGACUCUCUCCCUUCCAACAUACAACAAAAAGGAGCAACCAUAUUCCAAAAGAAAAUAUCCUAACAACACAAAACCAGAGAGACACUCAGCCACACGAUGGAGGCUGGAGAGGCUGGAAACCCCUCAGAGCAGCUGGAACAUGGUAAGAGAGAACUUUGCUUCCUCCUCAAAAGAGUGAGGUUGCUGCCACUGGAAGCUCCAUGAGGGAAGGAGUAGGGGAGGGGUCACACAUCUGUGGACACCCAUCACCCAGGACAGCCUAGGGCCCUUGCAGCCUAAUAGGAAGCCCUUUAAGGCAGCAAAAGCUUUCACAUGGAGUGACCUCAUCAAGCCAAGACCCCAGGAGACCAGAUAGCGAGAGCUGAUCAAAAAGUCCUGGACUGCACACUGGAGAAAGCACCCAUCCCCUGAC
rnacentral:lncRNA from 1 species